rnacentral:rRNA from 1 species
GCUAAACGCGAAGAACCUUACCUGGCCUUGACAUCCCAGGAACCCUGAAGAGAUUUGGGGUGCCGCAAGACUGGAGACAGGUGCUGCAUGGCUGUCGUCAGCUCGUGUCGUGAGAUGUUGGGUUAAGUCCCGCAACGAGCGCAACCCUCGUCCUUAGUUGCUAACAUUCAGUUGAGAACUCUAAGGAAACUGCCUAUGAUAAGUAGGAGGAAGGUGGGGACGACGUCAAGUCAUCAUGGCCCUUACGGCCUGGGCUACACACGUGCUACAAUGGUCGGUACAGAGGGUUGCAAGCCGCGAGGUGGAGCUAAUCUCACAAAACCGAUCGUAGUCCGGAUCGCAGUCUGCAACUCGACUGCGUGAAGUCGGAAUCGCUAGUAAUCGCGAAUCAGAAUGUCGCGGUGAAUACGUUCCCGGGUCUUGUACACACCG